rnacentral:rRNA from 1 species
AAAGAAAGCGUAAUAGCUCACUGGUCGAGUCGGCCUGCGCGGAAGAUGUAACGGGGCUAAACCAUGCACCGAAGCUGCGGCAGCGACGCUGAUGCGUUGUUGGGUAGGGGAGCGUUCUGUAAGCCUGUGAAGGUGUGCUGUGAGGCAUGCUGGAGGUAUCAGAAGUGCGAAUGCUGACAUAAGUAACGAUAAAGCGGGUGAAAAGCCCGCUCGCCGGAAGAC